rnacentral:rRNA from 1 species
AUACCGGGCCUUUUUGGGCUUGGUAAUUGGAAUGAGGGAGAGUUAAACGGACCAUCGAGUAUCCAUUGGAGGGCAAGUCUGGUGCCAGCAGCUGCGGUAAUACCAGCUCCAAUAGCGUAUAUUAAAGUUGUUGCAGUUAAAAAGCUCGUAGUUGGACUUGUGUGCGCUGUCCGCGGGUGGCCUGCGCCCAAAAGGGCGUUUCGGUUCGGCCCCGGUGGCGCCUUGAAAUCUGCAGCUGGGGGGACGUUGGCCUUAACUGGUCGGCGACCGCACGCCGGCUGCUCGGUUACUGUGAGAAAAUUAGAGUGUUCAAGGCAGGCAUUGGGUGCAAUUGAAUACAUUAGCAUGGAAUAAUAAAAUAUGGCUCCUGCCGUAUUUUGUUGGUUUUGACUGGUGGGAGUAAUGAUUGAUAGGGACGGUUGGGGGUGCUAGUAUUGAGCGGCCAGAGGUGAAAUUCAUGGAUUCGCUCAAGACUAACUUAUGCGAAAGCAUUCACCAAGGACGUCCUCUUUAAUCAAGAACGAAAGUUGGGGGAUCGAAGACGAUCAGAUACCGUCGUAGUCUCAACCAUAAACUAUGUCGACUUGGGAUCGGCGGUAGUUUUUUCAUUAAGACACUGUCGGGACCACGGGAGAAAUCAAAGUGUCUGGACUCUGGGGGAAGUAUGGUCGCAAGGCUGAAACUUGAAGGAAUUGACGGAAGGGCACCACCAGGAGUGGAGCCUGCGGCUUAAUUUGACCCAACACGGGGGAACUUACCAGGUCCAGAGAUGUAGAGGAUUGACAGAUUGAAGCUCUUUCUUGAUCACUUCGGUGGUGGUGCAUGGCCGUUCUUAGUUGGUGGAGUGAUUUGUCUGGUUAAUUCCGUUAACGAACGAGACCUCAGCCUGCUAGUGUAGUCGGCUGGAUUGCCUUUGGCGAUCCGUGAUUUCGACUUCUUAGAGGGACAAUCGACGCGCAGUCGAUGGAAGUUUGAGGCAAUAACAGGUCUGUGAUGCCCUUAGAUGUUCUGGGCCGCACGCGCGCUACACUGCUGGGCUCAGCGAGUUUUACUUGGCCGAGAGGCCCGGUUAAUCUUGUGAGAUCCCAGCGUGCUUGGGCUCGCCUCCUGCAACUGGAGGCGCCAACGAGGAAUUCCUAGUAGACGCAGGUCAUCAACCUGCAUCGAUUACGUCCCUGCCCUUUGUACACACCGCCCGUCGUUCCAUAAGAGUGAGGCAUCCGGUGAAUUCUCGGGAGAGCCUGGGCGUGGCCAGCAAUGGUCUGCUCGGGUUUGAACUUGCAUAAACUUGGUGCCUAUGAUUAGGG